ACGAACGCUGGCGGCGUGCUUAACACAUGCAAGUCGAGCGGUAAGGCCCUUUCGGGGGUACACGAGCGGCGAACGGGUGAGUAACACGUGGGUGACCUGCCCUUAGCUCUGGGAUAAGCCUGGGAAACUGGGUCUAAUACCGGAUAUGACUCCAUGACGCAUGUUGUGGGGUGGAAAGCCUUGUGCGGCUAGGGAUGGGCCCGCGGCCUAUCAGCUUGUUGGUGGGGUGAUGGCCUACCAAGGCGACGACGGGUAGCCGGCCUGAGAGGGCGACCGGCCACACUGGGACUGAGACACGGCCCAGACUCCUACGGGAGGCAGCAGUGGGGAAUCUUGCGCAAUGGGCGAAAGCCUGACGCAGCGACGCCGCGUGGGGAUGACGG
rnacentral:rRNA from 1 species